GCGGCGUGCUUAACACAUGCAAGUCGAACGAUGAACCACUUCGGUGGGGAUUAGUGGCGAACGGGUGAGUAACACGUGGGCAAUCUGCCCUGCACUCUGGGACAAGCCCUGGAAACGGGGUCUAAUACCGGAUACUGACCCGCUUGGGCAUCCAAGCGGUUCGAAAGCUCCGGCGGUGCAGGAUGAGCCCGCGGCCUAUCAGCUUGUUGGUGAGGUAAUGGCUCACCAAGGCGACGACGGGUAGCCGGCCUGAGAGGGCGACCGGCCACACUGGGACUGAGACACGGCCCAGACUCCUACGGGAGGCAGCAGUGGGGAAUAUUGCACAAUGGGCGAAAGCCUGAUGCAGCGACGCCGCGUGAGGGAUGACGGCCUUCGGGUUGUAAACCUCUUUCAGCAGGGAAGAAGCGAAAGUGACGGUACCUGCAGAAGAAGCGCCGGCUAACUACGUGCCAGCAGCCGCGGUAAUACGUAGGGCGCGAGCGUUGUCCGGAAUUAUUGGGCGUAAAGAGCUCGUAGGCGGCUUGUCACGUCGGUUGUGAAAGCCCGGGGCUUAACCCCGGGUCUGCAGUCGAUACGGGCAGGCUAGAGUUCGGUAGGGGAGAUCGGAAUUCCUGGUGUAGCGGUGAAAUGCGCAGAUAUCAGGAGGAACACCGGUGGCGAAGGCGGAUCUCUGGGCCGAUACUGACGCUGAGGAGCGAAAGCGUGGGGAGCGAACAGGAUUAGAUACCCUGGUAGUCCACGCCGUAAACGGUGGGCACUAGGUGUGGGCGACAUUCCACGUCGUCCGUGCCGCAGCUAACGCAUUAAGUGCCCCGCCUGGGGGAGUACGGCCGCAAGGCUAAAACUCAAAGGAAUUG
rnacentral:rRNA from 1 species